CUAAUGCAUAUGAAAUACUAUACUUUAAAUCACAGAAAUCAGUAAAGUAUCAGGAAAGCAGUUGACGCAGGCAUUUAAAAUGUAUCAGAGAAAUCACAGAAUCAUAGAAUCAUAAAAUGGAAUGUAGAAGUGUACACAAAAUUGUGAUGGUUUUAUGAUUUUUGGUUAUCAGUAUUCCACAUCACAACAUCAUGCAGUGUACUGGGAGUUAAAGAGCAAAUGCUUUAGUUCUGGGUACCUGUCUGGAAGAGAAGAACUACGUUCCCCAAGAGCGUUUUCGAGUACUGUUAUCAUUCCUGCUUAGGGGAACAGAUAUAAGGGUGCAGGUCAUCUGACUCGCUGCCCUCUUCUCGUCUCGCCGUGCUCCCUGUCAGAUUGGCUCAUUACUGCUGCUCCUGACUGCACGCAAGGCUUCAGUACUAGUGUUUCCAGAUAUGAUUACUGAAGCCUAAUGCAACAAAAUUUUGAUUCCAAAGCAUCCGAGGCCUUCCAGCUUGAAAUAGUGAGCCAUUAUGGAAAAAGGAAUUUGGCAACAGAAAGCAAGUGAUUUUAUUUUUCAUGUCUUCAGCAACUAAAGUUGUUUCAUCCUUACAAAAAGCAUUCAAAUUAUUAAAAAGUGACAUGACCGAAAGAAAAUAUAAGCUGCAACGUACUUCACAUAGUGAAACUCUUCAAACAACCUGAAAUAACGAAGAUCCAUUACUAGAACAAGGCAAGAUUUUUUCUGGUUGAAAAGUACCAGAUCAGGUAAAUUAAAUUUCACAGUGGAAAUUUAGUAUUUUCAAUGGUACAUCUGAAAAAAGUUUUUUUUUUUUUAAUGGGGAAAAAUAUUUUGGCCAAAUGUGAAAAAGAAAGUAGUCUGGUGGUUAUGAUGCAUGCCUAAGGUAUGAUAUGCAAGCUGAAAUUCCUUCUGUCAGCAUCAUAGUACAUUCCUAAAUCAUGUCUUGUCUAAGUGCCCUAGUCAUUAGCUCAUUUGUACAUAUGCUUCCUUCUCUCUAAAGCUUUGUAAUGUGUUCUGCAUUUUGUUCACAGUAGAAAAAGAAAACAUCCAUCUCAGUAUUUUGCAGUCUGGAAAAGCUGUUUCCCAUCUAGAUCCAUUUGAAAUCAAGUAUUUUAUUUAUCCUUAAUAAAAAGUUCUUUUCUUGAAGGUCUUGAAACAUGAUGAAAUUUAGAGAAAUCUUCAGGUUUUAUUCCAUUCUUUCACGUCCUAAUAAGAACUGACCCAUAGCUGCUUGUUUUUAGUAUGUUAUUAGUCCGAAAUAGAGUACUUUGAUCAGCUCUGAGAGCCUUACAUAGAGCCCCAUGGAAAAUGGAAUAAGCCCUAAGGUGCAACUCACUUUACUGAAUAAUGUCCAACUGGAGCUUUCAGUUCAUAGCCAUGCAAACUCUGGGCAGAGAAGUUGUGGGUUUGAUGCACCAAACCCCAUCUCUCCACAACCACUGGCUUUUGGCAGAUCAUAUAUUGAUUGGAAAUUUACUUUACAGUUCAUAGACCUGUUAUUCCCAUAAAUUCUGGACAAUGUUUCCAGCUGAGCUGUUGUCUGAAUUUAGAUUCUUCAGAGCUGUAGCUCUGAAUAUAUGUAUACACAAAUAUACACUGUUAGGAUCAGGGAAUACAUGCCUUGCAAUUGCCAGUCUUAUAGGCUUUUGCCUGCAGUUUAUAUGUAAUUAUUGAGAAACUGAUAGCUUAACUGCUUGAUAUAAUACCAGAUAAGUUGUUCUAUUUCUUUCUUUUUGGAUUUUUCAUUUUUUCCAGGAAGAAUUAAGUGCCUUUUUUUUUUUUUUCUUUUCUUUUUUUCCAAGGAACUGUGAAUAUAUUAAAAGUAUCAUUUGUUCGGUCCUGUUGGAAACACAAUGGUAAUGUUUGUACUGGGAAACUGAACAGUUCAGGCACGGGUUCAAGCACUCUCUGUGAUUGACUAUACUGUUAAUUGUUAGCAUGAUCCCUAACUUGGUUUCGAUCUGUGCCAACUGUGUUUGGGCAUAGUUAGAGGGCCACCAGGGACAGCAGAUCAUUCCUAAUAGGCCAUUUGGACUGUUCUGUUCUAGUCUGUUCUAGGAGGGAAGAGAGCUUAGCUCUUUCAAUUGAUAUGAGCAGUGCAGUGCCAGCUGGCCUCAGGUCUGCAGAAAGAUCCACGGAUCAUUUAAUUUACUGGUGUAGAUGUAGCCAGUAGAAGUAUGGCCAGCAGAAAAAAAAAAAAAAAAAAAAAAAAAAAAAAAAAAAAAAAAAAGGGAGAAAAAAGGUUUCAGCAGUCAGUGUUUUCAGCUUAACAUCUCCUGCACUCUGAACCAUCUUUUUCCUAGAUUUGCAUAAAAGCUUAUUUUCUUGAAAAUAAAACGUUGAGGUUAGAAAUAAUAAUCUUUGCCCUUCUGAUUUAAGAUAUCCAAGCAAGGAAGCUCUCUAGGGAAGCAUUUUUAUGGUGCUCUGAGUGAUUUUAUUCUUAUCUAUUUAAUUAUCUUCACUCAUAAUAAACUCUGCUUUGCAACAGGAGGUAGUGCUCUGCCUUAUUCUAAUUAAUGAAUCAGUUAGUGGACAACCUGCAGAGCCAGAAUAUGCUUAUUUAGAGACAUUCUCAUUGAUUUGAUGAAAUCUGCUGAUUCUGUUCAAGCUAUCCACUAUUUGGACCAAUAAAAUAGAACAGCCCUUCCAGACAGAAACCAAUGAACACCGUUGGUAAAGCAUGUGUUGGAAAAAACUGUUUCUCUAAAUCUGAAAAAGGGUAGCCCUCAAAAUGAUGCAUCUUUAAAGAAUUUUCAUGAAUAAUACAUUAGAGAAUGAAGAAGAUACCUAUGAUUUUGAAUUAGAACAUGAUUCUAAUGCAUAGCCUGCACAUAUCUUUCUUCCAUGAUCAAUAUAUUUUUUGUGUAUAGAGAAGUAAUGAUUCUGGUAUCCUGAAAGACUGUAAUAUCAAGCUGAAUGUGUGGUAACUGCAGAUAAUAAACAGCAAAGAGUCUACAGCAUUGGCAAGCAGUCAAAAAUUUGGGUGCCUACAUUUUGAAUAUCGUGGGUAAUAGGGAACUCUCUCAAGAUUGCUCUAGUCAGAUAUCACUCAGAAUAUGGAACUCAAUUAAUGAUGCACGUAAAACACAAGAUGAAAAGUCAGAGAGAUAAGAUAACUUAUGAACAGCAAAUAGCAGAUGGAGAAAAAUAAAUAAACUGUAAACAAGGAGGCAUCUAGGGAGUUAAUUGGUAGGUUUGUAUGAAUAUCAGAGAAUAGCAAUUAAAAAGAAUACUGCAGAAAAAAAUAAAGGAUUUCUACUGUUACAGAAGAACAUCCCUCAAAAACUAAUAAAGACCAGGUACUAUCAGAAAAAAAGACACUUGGAAAAAUUGAUAAACUGAUGAGAAGCAACAGUACUGAAGAGCAAAAGUAUUUGAGUCCUUGAGCCUAAGACUGAAGGCAAUGAGUAUAUAACAAGAGUUUGCACUGUCUCUUUAAAGUUUGCACUGUCUCUUUAAAGUCUUAUUCAGUUUUCAAUCUUUAAGCCUGUGAGUAUUUCAGGUAGUGAAAUUUAUCUAUCUGCCCACAUAAGAUUGUUUUGAGGGAGAUCUUGGACACUGAACAAUGACAAGUACUCUUUAGAUAACAGGUAUGUUGGUUGAAAUAAUAUUUAAAAUAUAAUUUAUAAAAUUUCCUGGUGUGAGCAAGAUAAAAAAUCCAGACUUCACACGAGUACAGUGUGUUUUUGAUCUUAAAGAUUUGCCAAUGUGUAAAUAAAAAACUAAGCUAAGCAUGUCUGGUAACACUUUAUCUGGUUUUCAAUCCUACUUAGGAAGAGAUUAGGGAAGCUAAGCAGUGAUUUGUUUACUGGAAAAGUGUCAUAAUUUAAAGCUCUGGUAGGAGAUAGAAAAGAAGUACAAAUUUCAUCAAGAAAGGGGAAAAGAAAAAAGAAAAAAAAAGUUGAGUUCUCUAACCUUUUAAUUUCUCUUACAUAGAGCUAAACAUAUUGAUGUAACAGGAAGGCAUAACAGGGUGACAAGUCUGUAUGUAUGACAGGUACGAAAAUUAAUCUACUCAGGAAAACCCUGAAAGACCUAAGAAUAUAAGAACAGUUAUGAUGGAUCUGAUCAUUAAUAAUCUUCAUCCAGUAACUUAAUUCUAAUAACGAACGUUUAGGAAAAGUCCAUACUAAGAAGAAAGGAAAACAUUAAGACUUCCUUUGCAUAUAAUAAAUUCAGGGAAUCUAAUGAGUUGAACGUACAGCUUGGUGACACGUGAAAUUCAAUAAAUGCUAUCUAAUACAUAUUCCUGUAAAUAAUUUGAUUUGUACAAAUUAGUGGGUUCCAAAUUAACUGAAGCAUCUCUGAGGGAAAUUAUAUAUAUAAUACUGGGGAAUAAAUGUGAAAUAUACACACACACAUAUAUAUAUAAAUAUAUAAUAUUUCUGGAGUAACAGGGAGAUUCCAAGAGUUACUGUAUUGGAGGCUGAAGUGAGCCUAACUGGAAAUGAGAGGCAAAAGCAGCCCAUGGUGACUGACCCAAAGGGUCUGUGCAUCCUUGGUAUAGAUUAUCUCAAGACAGGGUACUUUAUAGAUCCAAAACAGUAUUGGUGGGCUUUUGAUAUAGUUGCCUUGGAAAUGGAGGACAUUAAACAGCUAUUUACCUUGCCUGGUCUUUCAUAAGACCCUUCAGUUGAGUAGUUGCUAAGAAUAUAUAUACACAUAUAACAUAUAUGUAUACGCACAUGUGUACUUUAUGAUAUUGGCCCAUGAAGUCGUAGGCAGAUGUUGGUGGGAUGGCAGCAGACGGUGAUCCUUCCCACCAAUAUUCCACUACAUUAAGUUGCCACAUGACAGAUGACAAUGAAAGAUGGGCUGUGUGGGCAACAUUUUCCAAGCAGCUAUUCCACUGUAGCAGCUGUGAACUAGUGGCUCACCUCCACUAGUGCAGAUUUUUAUGAGUGCAGCAUGCAGGCUCUUGUUCAUUGCUGGCAAAAAGGCACAGCUGGUAGUGGUGACUAUGUUAAAAAAUAGUGUUUAGCUAAUAGUUGAGAAUUUGCUUUAUCAAAUAAUACCGUUGUGCUCUUAGUAUCUGUUGUAGUUUCCAUGGGAAUUGAUAGGAGGUGCUACAUCUGGAGUAAUCUAAGUAUGUGUGUGUAUAUGUAUAUUAUAUUUUUUUAUAUAUAUCUACAUAAACUUGGGAACCAAUUUAAACUCAUUAUUUGCUAUGGCUCUAUUAACUGCGUGUAUUGGAACAGAGCUUGUAGAUGCUGACUAGGCCUCUACUGUGCUCAUGCAAAAUCUCUCUAGCCUGAAAGGCCUUGCAAACCAAGUGUAACAACAGACAGGCAGAUGUGGGAGAACAAGGAAACAAUGAAGCAAUAUUGAUUGGAAGGAUAAGCAGAGGUGUCAGAUUAAUUGACCUUUGCACAUUGUGCCAUUGCGCAUUGGUGGUCAGAAAGGAAACAACAUGUUAGCGUGUAUAAUGCCAUUACACGAAUCAAUGAUUUCUAAUCUUCCUGUCUCAAAGGUUGGAGUAAAACCAAAAGGAAUUUAGAGCUAGAGGACAGAAAUUAUUCAAAAACAAAACAAAACAAAACAAAAAACCAGAAAUGUGGGAUUCAGAGGCUGGUAAUAGUUAAAUUAGAUGGAGAAAUGUUGUUUCAAUAUGUGUACAUAUUAAUGACAGGCAAAGUUGAUGUCAAGUAGAUGUCCCUAAUUAGCUGUUCUACUUACGUAGAACAUAGCAGACAAAUAAAAACACAUUUAAAUUGUAAUUUUCCUCACACGCUGGAUACUUAUGAAAUAUCUGUUGUCUGAUGUAACUUCAGUCACAUUCAAACUGGAACUGCAGGUUAAUCUGGAUAAUGACGUGUAAAUGUAAUUUUUUUCUUUUAAUGGAAUGCACAUCUCUGUGUAGAUAGACACUGACAAGUCACUAGCUCAUGAAGAAUAGGAAAAUAUUUUCCUCAUGGAUAGUUUAGUCUGUAAUUGUUCAGCACUUGGUUUCUUGCUGCUGUAGCUGAAGCACUUACUGCUAACUACCCACUGUGACAAACAGGACACUGUGUUAGAUAGGUAUGAUCUAGAGCAGCAAUUGCUGUGACCUUUAAUGGGAAACUCUGAAGUAUAAGAACUGUGAUUAUAAUGUAUAUCUAUAAAUAAUUGGCAACAUUUUGCUUUUAGUGAGCAUCUGGUUCUCAGUUCUUGCUCAGCAUGUGAGGGUAGAUGCAGUAGGACUGAUAGGAGCAUUUUCAGGGAUGUCUUUCCUUGUCUCUCCUCUAGUUCUGAGGAAGAGAAGAGGGGAAGGGAAUACAGCAAUGUUAAACUGAAUUAGCUACAAAUGGUUCAGCUAACUUCAAGAACAAUUAGAAAUUGCACAAUGAAUAAUUCAGUGUUUUGUCACUUCAGGGGCUUCUUUUUCUGCCUUUAUAAUUCAGAGCCCUUCCUUCCCUCCCCCUUCUUGUUAAGUAGAAAUUCUAGACGGAGAGGCAAUCUCCAGAGACUGCCUGCCCCAUUAACAUGCAGGUGGCAUUUCUAAGGGGCUCGCAGGAUGUCUCCAGCUGGAAGCAUGUUGACUGCACGCACGUGGGACCUCUGUGCUUUACAAGUCCUGGCGACCCUCACGCAAAUGCAGUUCAUAAGAAGGGAUUUCCUUUUAAAAAGUGCUUUUUUUUUUUCUUGCUUUCUUAUUCCUUACAUUGUUUGGGGAAUGACAUGUAAUAUGAAAUUAAAGGCAAAUAGUAUUUUCUAAUAAUCCUGAAGAGCUAAUAAAUCACUGCAGUGCUUCUUUAUCUUUUUCCCCCCUCCUUUUUUUUUUUUUUUUCUUUUCCUUUUUCCCCCUCCAUCCGGGAAAACUGUUACUCUGUAACAAUAGAGUCUGAUUAAAGACAGGAAAAAAUGAGUAAGAGAUAAGUGGGCAGACAGGCACAUGCUAUAAGCUCAACAAUUUUCUAGCACUUUCUGUGAGGAGCUGAAGACCUCUUGCUGUCCUUCAAAGGAAAUUGCAGGCAUUCAGUGCUGUUUACAUGUACAAACAAACAACAACAACAACAAAAAACCCUUCCGCACAAAAAACCUUCUCUGCUCUUGCUGCCACUGUCAAUAUGAGCACUGCAUUCUGGUGACAAAACAUUGCACGAAGAAAACCUGUACUGGAAGAAAAGCUUCAAAACAGGCUUCCAAGGACAGCAUGUUGUUCCAGCUCAGAAUAGAACUGUGCUUUUAAAAAGUCAGGGUUUUCAUGUCAGUGUAUUUAUAGUGCCAUGAUUUAUUAUUGCAGUGUUAGAAUUUAUUUACACAACACUAUAAAUUAAGAUAUAAGGGAAUAAUUAAUACAGUCAAAUGAAUACUACUAUAGAUGUUUCUUUUAUACAUUGUAUAUGAAGUUAGCACAUCUUCUAGCAUGUUUCAAAGAAGUAUUUGGGCCAAAUUAUGAUUUCUAACAAAAAUAACUCAAAAAUCACUGCACCUGUCUGCUGCAAUGGAGAUAUUAAUAAAUGUGUGUUCAGUGCAGUGUUUUUCUGUCCAGGAAAGAAUUACUCUUCCUGCAUUAAGCUCUUUCUGGUAUACUAAUAAAAUGCUCUGCUUUACUGAAUGCCCCUUUAGGACAACUAUUGCACAGGGAAUAAGAUGCAGGUUCUAGCCCAAUCAGGGCAAAUCUCUUAGCACUCUUUUAGAGUCCUAGCUUUCCAAUGUGCCUUUUUAGCAAGGUACUCGGGGCAAAUUAUCUUUAGCAAAGCACUCAUGGCAAAUACCACAAACUGUGGUUUGCUGAAGUAUGUCAGAGACAUGGUUUCACUAGCUAAAUCUGGAUCACCUCCCUUUUUCCUUCCAGAUGAAAACUCUCACUUAGUGUAUGGUUCUCAACCAAAUAACAGACUUCAUCCCAUUAAAAGCCAUCCACAAAGGAAAGAAAAUUGAUUUUAGUAGAAUAGUCCCCGACAUGUCUGAUUGCUUGGGGGUAGAGUUGGGGGUGGAGUGCAGAAAAAUGGGCAGGAACAUGAUGAAGAGUGGUGUGGAUCAAGGAUUUCAGGUCAGCUUCCAACAUCAGUCAACUGCAUCCUCAGAUUUUUUCUUUUGUACUUUUCCAGCACACCAAGUAAAGGCACAAGAUGAUUAUUGCUUGUAUUCACCAUUGAGCUGAGCCCUAGUUUUCAUUUGAUGAUGGAGUAAAAGUAUUUUGAAUAUACCUUUGUGGCCUGUCAGCACUGUAUUUAGUAAGAUGUCAUUCUAUAUAAAGUGGCCCUCUCCCAUAUUUAGAUGUCUAUCUGUAAAGUGAAGGUGCAUCAGCCAGACAGUAGAGAAUAACAUAUGUUUUAAACAUUUCUUUACUGACAAUUUUGCUGAAUUUUUGUAUUGCAACACUUCUGCAGAUAAGGCUGUAAGAGUAGGUUUUUUUCCAUGAACUACAGAUGAAAUUAGUCAUUAGCUGUGACUACCCAAAGCUGUGCACAUUUUUGUUUGCCAGUCAGUAUGCUUGGCUGACUGGCCAAUAGGUACAUGUAUUCUGCUGCCAAAACAAGAUGUAUAACAGAUGAAUUCUGCCUGUCUUUCCCUCCCUGGUUUUCUCCUCUAGUCAGCCAACACUCUUCAUGAAACUUGCAGGAAUUUCAUUAUCUCUGAGACUUCAAAUCCUCUUUCUAGUGUCCUCAAAAUUAAUCUAUAAUGAAAAUGUGGUAGUCUGACAAAUAAAUGUCCAAAAUAAAUCAGUGGUGUAAGCCUUGUGAAACCAGUGUCAAAAUACAGAUUGAAAAGAAAACAUAGGGAAGAGACUUACUUCUAACUGCUGGUGUAUUCUACAUUGCUGCUAAGAAUAUAAAUAUAUUUUUUAUAUGAUUCUUGAAACACCUGAGAGGAAAGGUUUGAGAAGCAAUCUGGCUUUGGAAAGAUAUUCAGUAUCUUUUGUUUUUAGGUAUUACUUCCAUGUUCUUUUUGUUCAUGCAAUUUUAUGAAAGUUCAUCCACUUCCUAGAUCUUCUACUGCAGAUCACUUAACUUUAGGCAAUUAUGACAUUAUUAUGCUAAUAUUGCUUUAAUGUGCUAUUUAUCAACAUUAUAUAAAUAUUUCAUAAGCUAAUUGCCUGAAAUUAUAAGGGCUGUAAAAAUCUUACAAGAGAAGCCCCACAUGAAUAAAGACAGUGUAGUCUGCUCACCUGCUCUGAAAGGUUUUAUGCUCCGUAGCUUGGUUUCCAUAUAUAAUACAGUCUGAGAAAAGAUUUUGUUUCUUCCUACAAAGCCUAUCCUUCUUAUACAUCUACAACUAUUUUGGCUAUAAUACUGAUGUCUGAUGACUGACUGUGCAGUCUAAUUCUAAGUUAUGCUACACUUUGUGGGGAAACAGGUUAACUGUUUUCCUGAUUUCCAAGGUUGGGUGUAGCUUAGGAUGGCUAUUGCACCACUUAAAAUUAUUCUAAAGAUGACAAUUUCACAAGAAAACUGCUAUUGAGCUUUCAACUCUAGCCUUAGCAUCUCCUCUAUAUUCCUCCUAUAUAUAUUCCGUGCCAUGUAUGUAUUUUCAAAAAAGCAGCUUCACUCAUUCUUGUAUUGCAACCCACCCUUUGGAUAGGUUAAUCUCGUGGAAGGGAAAAGGUCUCUUAGAAGGCUGGGCAAUCAUCAUCAGGAUAUGUGUACAGACUGAGGGAUGAGAAAUUAGAGAGCACCUCUGUGGAAAGGUAUCUGUGGGUUCUGGUUGAUGUCAAGUUGAACAUGAACCAGCAGUGAGCCCUGGGGUGCAUCAGGUUCAGCAUUGCCAACUGGGUGAGAGAAGUGAUUGUCUUGCUCUCAUCUGCACUGGUGUAGCCUCACCUUGAACAAACUGUGUAGGUUUAAGCACCACAAUAUAAGGACAUAAAACUAUUAACAGGUGUCCAAAGGAGGGCUACAAGGAUGGUGAAGGGUCUAGAGGGCAAGACAAAUGAGGAGCAGCUGAGGUACCUUUGUUUGUUCAGCCUAGAGAAGAGGAGGCUGAGGGGAGACCAGAGGGUUGUCAGGCACUGGAACAGGAUCCUCAGAGUAGUGGUCAUGGCACCAAGCCUGUCAGAGUUCAAGAAGCAUUUGGAUAACUUUCACAGAAAUAUGGUUUGAUUUUGGGUUAUCCUGUGUGGAGCUAGAAAUUGGUGUCAGUGAUCUUUGUGGUUCUCUUCCAACUCAGGAUAUUCUAUGAUUCUACUCUAUGACUCUGUGGUUCUGUGAUUCUUUAUUGUAUUUCUGGUUGUCAGAGGAUAUGUUGGUAUGUAAUCUGUCUUUAAAAUUAAUUAAUAAUUUUCUAGCUCUUCCUUUUUUCUUCUCAUUUACAUUUAUUUUUAUGUAUAUAUUAAUAUCUCUUUACACUCCAUCUUUUUGCCUCAUGUUUGCACCCUGCUCAUUACAAUAGGCCUGGGUGUAGUCUAUGAUAGAUAGACAGUCUGUGAAUACAGCAUGGUGAUAGUAGAAAAAGAAGGGUAGGAUAAAAUCAAAACUCUAGUGUUGUUAAAAGAUAGAAAAAUUCUUAUUCAUUUUUCCACAGACAUAUCUACACAUACACAUAUGUAUAUACAUUGUGUAUGUAUAUACAUUAUAUAUUUACUAUUAUAUAUAUAUUACAUAUAUAAGAUAUACGUAUGUAUAUGUACGUUUGUGUAUGUAAGGGAGAAAAAUAUACUUUAUAUCUUUCACUUUUCCUUGAGAUCAGUUACUGUGAUUCUGAUUUUUCAUUCCAAAGCUGUGUAAACAGAAUCAGUACUGCUGACAGACAGCUGGGAGAAAGACGCUGAGAUCUUCACAGUAAAAUUCAUUUAGACUAAGUGGCUGAACUAAGCAUGUGUUUCAUGAUAUUGGGGAGAAGAGAACAGAAUGUUAUGACUAGCACAUUUCAACAAUCCAUUUUUAGAAAUGCCAAUUGCUUUGAGUUAUGCAGAAAACAGCCCCUCACAGUGCUCAGACCCAAAUCCUGAAUUUGAAAGGUGGCCAUGACUAACAGCUGCCAACAUGUAAUAGGUACAUUGCCAAAAACCCCGGACAGUUUCUCAUGCUACAUAUAACUUGGGGAAAACACCACCCUAGGUUACAUGCCAUGUUACAUGUGUGCACAGUCCAGAUCACUCAUGAAAUACAGAGUGAGGUAUCACAUAACAUUAAUCUGAAAUCCCCUUAAAUUAGACAUGGCACCCAGUGUCUCAGCACAUUCAGAUUCUUAAAGUGGUCCUGGCUUUCCAUAGUUAAGAAUGCUCAAGUUUUAUUCCUUGCCUUUCAAACAAACAGAACUAUUCUUAUUGUAUCACUUGUAGGGUAAUCCUGUCUGUUUGAUGUAAUUUGGUCACAAGCUUCUUAGAUAUGGUUGUCUAGUUUUGCAAUGCUGUUACAGGGAAAAACAAUACAAAUGUAUAAAUUGUAAUGUCUUAUUUCUUAAUCUCAAUGUAGAAUCUUUUUUACUUGUGUCCUGUACAUAUGAUUUUGUUCUUGCAAGCUCUUAGCAAGAUCCUUAACCUUUUUUAUUACUACUGAAUAGUUAGAGGAUAUCUGAAAGAACGUCAGAGCAACAGCUACCCUUACAAACUCCAUGGCGAAGGCUGGUUGCUAACAUCUAUGACAAAAGAACUUUUCUCACUAGCCCUGUUGGUCAAUAUAUAAUGGAAGACUUGAAGUAUUUGGUUGAACAGAGCUAGCUGUUCUCAUCUAAACCUAUCCUAUAGGGGAAUGCCUCCUCCUGGAGGCAUUCAAGGCCAAGAUGAAUGCGGCUUUGACAAACCUGGUCUAGCGGGAGGUAUCCCUUCCUAUAGCAGGGGGAUUGGAACUAGGCUAUCUUAAAGGACCCUGCCAACUCAAACUAUUCUAUGAUUCUGUGAUUCUAUGACUUGUACUCAGAAACUCACCAAAAGAAGUUCAGAAUGUCUUUGCCCACACCCUGCUCCUUAAUGACAUGGAAGGGGUUUGUAGACAUUGGCUUUUCAUUUUCUCUGUUUAGAAUAUACAGACUCCUGAAUGAAUUUAGAAUGUGCCACAUUCAAAGCAAAACAAAAUAAAAUGUCUUUACUUACAAUAAAUUUUAGAUCUAGCAAACUUAUUGCCAAAGGAUGUUCUGGAUAAAAGCAAUAGGAAAUUGUACAAAGCAAAUAAAUAUUCUUUUUUAUUAUUAAAUUAUUAAUUAGUAAAUAGACAAAGUAUUUCAAUCUUAACAGCUCCCCAUUAGCACACAGCAGACAGAUCUGUGAAGGAAAAAAUAGGGAAAAUGGUGCUGUCUCCCUUUUUUUACAGUUGGUUUCUUGCCCAUAACCUCUUCUUCUGUUCUGCUGACUUAAGCUUCUGGAUGUUCUUGUAAUCAGGGCAGUGGGUUAGAUGAAAUGUUGGUUUGAAGCAGUACAUCCGUUCUUGUCUUCUUUAACUGCUUAAUCCUGUUCUGUAUGUACCUUGUAGUGUGGCAUGGAAAUUCAUUGUGCUAUGUCUUUUCCCAGUGCAAGUUUGGAAUUAGACAAGCCUCCAACUCCUUCAAGAAAUCUGUUCUACUUCAGGAUUUCCAAGUUAGUUAGCUAAUCAACACCUCUUGCAGUGAGUAGGGGUAUUUACUCAGGCAGUAGGUGACCUGCUGUCCAGACAGAUGUGUGUUACUUCGACAUUCUUGAAUGCUAUUACAUGCUGAGCCUCCUAAUAUAUCCUCAAAGCAGUUGGUUUCCCUUUGUGAAUGAAAAAACUUAUUCAGCUGCUAAAAAUAUUUCUGCCUAGUUAAUAAAAGAUUAUUGCUUCCCACCCCUCGCUAAGAAGUGACAAUGUCCUAGUUUAUACAAGCUUUCUUCCUUGAGGCAUUCUGCGCACAUCAGAAACCUGAGGAUUUCUGUUCCAUUUUCCUCCAGUGUUAUAAGCAAACCCAUCUUAAGACACUAUAUUGCAUCUACCAACAUUGCAGCUUUUAAAUAUUGACUGAGAAAGCCACAGUGACUGCUAACAUUUUAAAACUGACUGAAAGAGUGCUACAAAAGAGUAGUAUGAGGAGCUUCCUCACCACCAGAGUCUCGUGACUGAAUGUUUUCUUACAAAAAAGCUUCUUCAAGCUGCUUUUUUUCUUUUUUCUUUUUUCUUUUUUUUUCCAUGAGAGUUAAGGAGAAUGGAGCCUAGACUGCAAUUUUCCUUGCUUUCGGAAAAAAAAAUCUCAGCAGUAUGCAUGAAGGCUUUUUUGUUUGGUCACUCAUCUGGAUUGUUUGCCUCUGCUUGGAAGAAUUAAAGCAUUUUCAGAAAAGUAAUCUUAUCACGAGAGGGUAAUUAGACAUUUCAUAAUCCUAUCACCCUUGUGCUGAAAUUACUGUGUCCAGCUGGCAAUAACUCUGCUUCUAAGAACAGACUGAGCAGCAGCACAGCAUGAAUUAUUUAACUCGAAACUGCACUUCCUGUUUUUAAAUCACAGGAAUAAUACAGGCACCGCAGACAGUAAUUAUCCCCAGUGUAGAGAGGAAACAGUUAAUGGAACCUGCCUUUUAAAUCAAUAUUAUUAAUUCAAGAAAAGAAACAGCAUGUACUAUCUGACGCCUAUGGAGUUUUGAUCUGGGUUUGAUGUCACACAGAAGUAAGGGGUUGCCAUGGAGAUUUGAGCGUAUGUCUGCAUAUCCUUGUCUGCCAGCAAGCUGCAAGGAGUGUUCUUGGAGAGGAAGUGCCCAUCUGUAGUCAAUCGCUAUUGUUCUCACCAAGCCACAUGCUGGCCUUGCUGCAGCCCGCCUAACUGCGUCACGGCAGAGCAGCAUCAGCCUCUCUGAAUAAAGACUCCCUGUUGGACCAGAUUUAUCCACCCUGCCAUUUUCACUGUCAUUUGAUUAUCUCCUUGUAUUUUCUGGCUGCGCUAAUGUAGUCUCUUAGUGCUGUUAUCAUAGAAAUCGUACGGCUCAAUAUCUCCUGAAGCUGGACAGAUCUCCUCGUGCUUGCUUGUUUUCUUCUUUACUCUUUUCAUUUGAUAAAGGGAAAACACCCAUAUUAUGUCUGUCUCCUUGCUCCAUUUCUUCUCUCUUGGAUGCAGACGACCUUGAAAAUACAAAUGUGCUUUCUCACCCUGUACACAUUCAAGGCAACCAAAAAGUACUUGCAAUAGAUACUUGUAUUAAAUCAUCAUUAUUAAUUGUCAGUGUAUGUUUCUAGAGCAAACACUGGUAGUUUGGCACAGUCCAGUAUGAUUAGUGAAUAUAUCUGUUUAUCAGUCGGUUAAGUACUGGGCUAGUGUGCAAGUGGCAUAUGAAAUCAUAACUUUAUUUCUAAUAGGAUCACAUCAUGCAACUUUUCUUAUACUACCAGAAAACAGUGUGAAAAUGCAUCUUCCUGAAAACCAAAUGGAGUCUGGGGAGGUCGUUUAUUUGUACAAUAUUUAAGGUAAAAUGUGAUGAAUUUGUGCCAUAGAUUCUUGGGAAAUAAUAUCUUGAAUACCAUAUACAAAAAGAAUAAUCUGGAACAGGAAGACAGAUUUUAUUUUACUAUUUUCUCUUUAUAGAAUCACAGAAUCUUUAAGGUUGGAAAAGACCUCUAAGAACAUCUAGUCCAACUGUCACUCAUCCCAACCAUGCUCACUAAACCAUGUCCCUCUAUGCCACAUCUAUUGGUCCUGCUUCUGAGACGUGUUCCGCCAGGGGCUAGCGAUCUACCCUCGCUAGGGCCAUUGCUACACAGACACCAAUAUGAGGAUAUAGCAAAUGGCGUUUAUUACAGCGUGGCAGCUCCUUAAAUACACACCUUGCCUUGUCUACGCCCCCUAAGCAUGCGUCAUAUUUAAGUCACAGAGCAGGGGAGGUCCUAUCGCGUCACAUCUCGAGUCCCCUUAAUGCCUACUACAACACAUAUCCACGUGUUUCUUGAGCGCUCGGGGACUGUGACUCCAUCACCUUCCAGGGCCUCAGUGUCUUUCCUGUAUGAGGGACCCAAAACUGAACACAGUACCCUUGGUGUGGCCUCACCAGUGACAAGUACAGGUGAAUGAUGAACCCUCUAGGCCUGAUGACUACACUAUUUCUGACACAAACCACGAUGCUAUUGACCUUCUUUGCCACCUGAACACACUGCUGGCUCAUAUUCAGAUGGAUGUCAGCUAACACCUCCACAUGUUUUUCCUCUGUGCAGCUUUCCAGCCACUCUAUUCCAAGCCUGUAGCAAUGCUUGGGGCUUUUGUGACCAAAGUGCAGAAGAUGGAGCUUGGACUUGUUGAAAUUCAUACAAUUGGCCUCAGCCCAUUGAUCCAGCCUGUCUGGAUCCAUUUGUAGGACCUUCCUACUCUUGAGCAGAUGAACUCUUCUUCCCAGUAUGAUGUCUCAUGAAAACUUACGGAGAGUACACUCAAUCUCUUCAUCCAGAUCAUAGAAUCAUAGAAUCAUACAAUGGCCUGGGUUGAAAAGGACCGUAAUGAGCAUCGAGUUUCAACCCCCCUGCUAUGUGCAGGGUCACCAACCACUAGGCCAGGCUGCCCAGAGCCACAGCCAGCCUGGCCUUGCAUGCAUCCAGGGAUGGAGCAUCCACAACCUCCUU
ensembl:lncRNA